GUAGGUGGCAAGCGUUGUCCGGAAUCAUUGGGCGUAAAGAGCGCGUAGGUGGCUUGUCAGGUCUGAUGUGAAAUCCUGGGGCUCAACUCCAGAACUGCAUCGGAAACCGGCUUGCUAGAGUCUGGGAGAGGAGAGUGGAAUUCCUGGUGUAGCGGUGAAAUGCGUAGAUAUCAGGAGGAACACCGGUAGCGAAGGCGGCUCUCUGGAACAGUACUGACGCUGAGGCGCGAAAGCUAGGGGAGCGAACAGGAUUAGAUACCCUGGUAGUCCCUAGCCGUAAACGAUGGACACUAGGUGUCGGGGGUGUCGACUCCCUCGGUGCCGAAGCUAACGCAUUAAGUGUCCCCGCCUGGGAGUACGGCCGCAAGGCUA
rnacentral:rRNA from 1 species